UAUCAGGGUUGGCAUUGAGAAAAGUUACUAUGAAGCUGUCAAUAAGGACUUGGUAGAAAAACUUGACACAGAACUCAACUACACUGACUUGUGCCAUAGUGAAAGUUACUCUUCUGGAGUUCAACAUCUACAAUGAUAGACUUGUAGUAAAUAAACUCUUUGAGAGUAGUUGUAAGAUUAAUCACCAGUUUUGUUUUUUGAGACAGUGUUUCAUGUAGCUGAGAUGAGCCUUGAACUUCCAGCCUUCCUGAGUCCACCCAUCUCCACAAGUUUGAAUUACAGAUCUCAACUGCCCAAGUUCUAACUGCUGAUUUGACUCCUCUAGGUUCAACCUCGAAUGCCCCAUGGCUAAUAGUCUCUCACUGAAUCUGAAACUCACUAGUUUGGGAAGACUGACUGUCCAGCAAGCUACAGGGUCCUCUUGUCUCUGCCUCCUCAGCACUAGGAUUAGAGGUGUGCACCACCAAGCCUGGCUUCCCC